AUAAUCAGAAAGUAGCCUUCUUCAAAUCUGUCUUUGCGAGCUGAACUUGAUCCUAUCCCGCUGGUAACUGAGGGAUGGAUUAGGGGGCUGAGAGACCGCAGACUGCUGUCUUGUCUGUUCACUCCUCCAACCACCGAUAGCGCUGUGCUGAAAAAAAACUGUGUCCUCCUUUGGUCUCCGCCCUUCCACGCAAGAGUCUGGCCACCCGCAGUGACUCUCAGUCCUGGCGAUUCUCCCCGGGCUCGGACGCGUUUUAAGAACAGGAUCUGUCUCCUUUUCCUUGGGCCGCCCUGUUACCGAGUGUCCGACUUGUGUCAACGCGGGGCUCGGCGCCGGGUUUGCAGGAAACGGGAGAAGAUUGACGUGGUACAGUGUUGAGCUGCAACUCUGCAGGGAGCGGGCGGAGCUCUGUCGGGUUCUGCUGGAGCCGCCGGGCCCUCUGGAGGCCCUCUCGGUUUAGCAGCAGGCGCCACACCGCAGAAUAUAGUUUCGAUUUGACAGGACGAUUGCUUGAUUACUGAAGUGGAAGUGAAGAGGAAGCCACGGGCAGUUCACUGCGUCGGAGGGCCCUGACAGCGCCCGGGUCCGAAGUGUAAUCCCGCGGUGGUCCCGAAUGCGAUCUCCGAGAUGAGCUGAAAGGGGCUAUAUGAACAGUAGGGUCCGUGGGUUUGAAGAAGGGUCCUGACCCGAAACGUUGACUGCCUGCUUUUCCUCACGGAUGCUGCCUGGUCUGCUGAGUUCCUCCAGCAUCAUCGUGUUUUUCAUCUAGAUCCAACCAUCUGCAGCCCUUUGUUUCUCCAUGGGAUUGGGGUCGCUCGGUAGCAAAUGAUCUGAAAUGGGGGCAAAUUCCGCUAAACCUCCUGAACCUACAGGCUUUUCAGCUGGGCAACGUGCUCAUUAUACAAGAAGCGGUCCCAGUGAAGAAGGUCGGAGGCUGGGCCCUGCUUCAAGGCACGGGUAUCAGUACCCAAGAGCCAGUGCCAGAGAACAUGUUCAAGACUUUGCUCCGAGGGAUGGCCAUCCGUCCGCACCAACUGGUCCCUUUGAAGACUUUGCUUUUGUCGACAAUUUAUCGAUGAACAGGCCUCCAAACAUUGUCCACCGUGCAGAUCUAAACUCCGCAGUCACCGAGCUCUUGGCGAAUUGGGACGACUUCAAAUUGUUCCAGAUGACUAAAUUUUACCGGGACAGACUGGAGCAGGCGAUGGAAGGAAGGGUGCACAUUAUUAGUUCGGCGUUAACGAACGGGCUGCAAUUCAGUAGACAGGAACAUCAGACGGUCACCGAUCUCACUGAUCAGGGACACAGGGCUGACAGUUCCAAACUACUCGUGAAUCUGGUGAUGGAGAAAGGCUCCCGGGCCCGGAGGCUGAUGUGGGAAACCUUUGUGAAAAUGCGGAACCAGGAUCCAAAGUUGAUCAAAAUACUGAAAGAAAUACGGGAACAAGGUUCUACACCUUACGCUUAUUUGGAAAUAGCCAUCGGUUCGCACGAGUAUCCCAGUGAGCUUACAGGUGCCCAAAGGAAACACAAAGUUACGCUAUGGGCGCAGAUUGAAAAUUUAAAUGCCAACGUCUUCCUCAGAAAUGGCAAUAUUAAGGUUUGCCAGUUGGUUGAUCAAUACGCGGAGAUCACAGUCAUUUCUACAGCACGAAAUCGGAAGUUCGCAGAACAUGAGCUGCUGGAAAGAGGCCGGGACCAUGAACAGUUCACAGACAGACAGAUCCCUGGAAGACUGAAAAAAAUCCGGACUGAUCAAUUGUUCCAAGGCAGCAUUUCUCAGAGUGCUUCCAAAUCUGGGAGUUCAGCAGCAGUGGCCGGAGUCUCAGGGAUCGGAAAAACAACCAUGGUGCAAAAGAUUGUUCAUGACUGGGUCACAGGGAAGAUGUACCAACACUUCCAGUUUGUCUUCAGUUUCAAAUUCCGGGAUUUAAAUUCCAUAAACUUUAGAACUAACUUGCGGGAUCUGAUUCUGGAUCAGUAUCCUUACUUGAGGAAUGUUCUGGGAGAGGUCUGGAAGAACGCAGAGAAAUUACUGUUUACCUUCGAUGGUUUGGAUGAAUUCAAGGACAGAAUCGAUUGUACCGACAGUCGGAGAGACACAGAACCUCAGCAGAUGUGCACAGAUCCCGAAUUCCGGUGUAAAGUCUCUGACAUUGUGUACAGUUUAAUCCAGCAUAAGCUGCUCCCAGGGUGUUCAGUGCUGGUGACCACCCGCCCCAGUGCGUUACACUUAUUGCGAAAGGCGGAGAUCAGUGUCUGGGCUGAAAUCCUGGGAUUUGUCGGUGAGGAACGGAAAAAAUAUUUCAACAGGCAUUUUGAAGAUCAGACGGUGGCCGCAGCUGUUUUCAAACACGUGGAGGAGAACGAGAUCCUGUACACCAUGAGCUACAACCCCUCCUACUGCUGGAUCCUCGCUCUGGCACUGGGUCCCUUCUUCACACAAAGACACAGGGACCCGCAGCGAGUUCCCAAGACCAUCACCGAACUAUAUUCCUGCUAUAUUUACAACAUCCUGAAAACCCACGGCCGUGAGAUUGAAAGCCCCCGUGAUGUGUUACUGAGGAUUGGUCAGAUGGCCUUCACAGGAGUGUCCGAGAACAACAUCGUGUUUACAGAUGGAGAUUUGAUCAAGUACAAUCUGCAGCCUCCCCAGUUCCCGUCCAGGUUCUCGAUGGAACUGUUAGAGAGAGGAGAUUGUGCCCGGAGCGUGGUGUACACAUUCCCACACCUCACCAUCCAAGAGUUUGUAGCCGCACUCGCACAUUUCCUGACUCCAGAUCCCGGGGAUAUCCUGAAACUCCUCACUGAGGCCCACAACACGACAGAUGGGCGAUUUGAGGUAUUUCUCCGUUUUGUUGCUGGUCUGUCCUCCCCUGGCUCAGCUGGGCCACUAUGUGAAUUACUGGGCCCAUUUCCACAUCAGACGACAUGGCGAGUGAUUGAUUGGACGAAGGAAGAGUUGAAACGUCAAACUGGAAACACGAGGACUGAAGCCGAUAAAAGGAGCCUCCUGAACACAUUGCACUACCUGUUUGAGUCUCGGAAUAGUGGACUGGCUCAGGGCGCACUGGGAUCUGUGGAAGCACUUUCAUUUCGAAGAUUUCAACUUACCCCGAGUGACUGCACCGUCCUCUCCAAUGCCAUCGGACUCUUCAAUGCAAUAAAACACCUAGAUCUCCGGAGCUGUCACAUCCGAUGUGAAGGACUCGAGCGACUAGGACCCGGACUGCACAAGUGCCAGGAGUUGGGACUGGGGAACAAUCACGUGGGAGAUUCCGGAGUGAAACUGGUGUCUGCGGCUCUGAGAAACCCGGAGUGUGAAAUCCAGAAACUGCGGUUCUAUAAUAACGGACUGAAACCGUUUUGUGCCAAGGAUCUCGCCUCUGCUCUCAUUACAAACUGCUCACUGACGGAACUGGACCUGGCUUAUAACGACCUGGGAGAUUCAGGCGUGAAACUGGUGUCUACAGCUCUGAGGAACCCCGACUGUAAAAUACAGAGGCUGCGGUUAGAUGGUGCCGGUCUCACAGAUUCUUGCAGCGAGGAUCUCUCUUCAGCACUCAGUACAAACAUCUCACUGAUGGAGCUUAAACUGGGAUCAAACUCCUUCACAGACCGAUCUGUCCCUGCUCUCCGCCGCCUCAUACUGACCCACCGGAAUCUGAACACUGUCGGUCUGCGAUGGAAUAUGUUCAGUUCAGAUGGAGAGAAGCAACUUACAUCUCUGCGAGAAUCCACACCCAGGCUCAGUAUAACAAUAUGAACAUAUCAUCAUGUACACCGCCGCCCCCUUGGAGGCGAAUGUGUUUUGUCCGAUUUCUGCCUCCCCUUUAAACGGACGCUUUCCGUCUUUACACCCGAUUAACCCCUUAAAUGCUGCCGGCUGGAACAUCCCUCCCCCGCCUGUCAGAGGUCCAGCUCUGGAGCCAGGUGAAUCGGACGGUUCUGCGCUCCUGUGAACUACUCCCACUCGUUGUCGUGAGCUGAGGAAUGAACAGAAUCAGCCAGGCCUUCUCGAUGUUUUGGUCAAGAAAAGUAUUUAUUUGAGCUAUUUCAUUCAGGGUCUGUGAACAGCGCUUGAGAAAAAUGAGAUUCGUUGCAGGAAGAAAGUCUGGCUCUACGCACAAGGAGUACACAGCCUCAACCGCACACGUUAUCACUCAAUAUACUUCAAUACGAUGCAAGAAACAAUUGCUCCUCGUAAAAGUUCACUGGGAGCUUGGUGGCUACACUAGUGUCAAUGGUUAAAGCCCACCGAAUGUUCUCUACACUUAUCACCAUUUAAUCUUCCUUUGUUAUAUAUAAUAGAAAUAUUAAAAUAGCUUUGGGGAGAAUUGGGGACUGAGGUAUCCGUGUGUGACUGAGAAAGUGGUUUGCUGACUCACAGGGUGGAUAGUUUCGGGCCUCUUUCCCCAAUAGUCGAUCAUUGGCUCCGUGAUUCCGCAUAAGUAAUGGCACAGGUCAAGAUCGGGAUCAAACAGCGGCCGCUUCUUAUUUUACAAGAACUCUAUCCUUUAACAGACUAAUAUCAGCCCCGUCACUAUUUAAUCCCCACUGGCCGCGGUGAGUUGCCUGGGACAUGAGAGAAUAUUACUAGGCAAUUGAUGGGAUUUAUCUGUAAAUUGGCACAGAAUCGAUCGGCCGAAAACACCUAUUCCUAUGGAUAUUAUUCUGUGUGGUAUCCGGGAAUGAUCUCGGGUACAGAGAGGGCCAAGUUCCGACACUGACAAAGAAACGCAGCACGGCGCUGUUGUUAGUUUAAAUGUGCUGUUUUUCAUAUGUACCUGGAAUCGUAUAAGCAAUAUGGAUAAUUGGAAACUAUGUUAGGUUGCGGGUCAUCCGAUAUUUCAACUCAGGAUAUCUUUAGAGCAACCGGAUGUUGUACAAAUGCAAACAGAAAUAUUUGCGUUUGAGGAGAGGGCAGAGGUCCAGCUCUCUGAUAAUCUGUUUUGUAAUUUAAAUUUUAAAUAAUUUAAAAUUAAAAUAUUGUGCGUAUUUUUGCUGUGAAUUCGUAUUGCUGUCUGCAUUACAUUAAACACGUCUUUGUCCCUUUCCUUGCCAUCCAAACAAACAAAUUUCACCUUAUUCCUCACUUCCAAGAAAGUAACCGGAGAUGGGACCCACUGCUGGAUUAUCAACAACAUCAGGUUAGAUCAGAGAGCACAUACCGAAUAAUUAAACCGACGUCAUGUUAAUUGGGCCACAGGCUGCAGCUGAGAAGCCAAGAGGAAGGUCGGCGUCUCCUUAAGAACGUAUUUUCCCUUUCGCCCUCUUUUCUGAUCCGACAGUCUUAACCUCCCCGGCUUUCACACCACCGACAAAGCAGUGCAUCCCACACCCGAAUAGGAUUGGUCGGUUGUCCACUGGUGGACGUCUACUGCCAGAUGAUUCUAAAGGCACCAUAAACGGAAAUGGAAGUUCUGGUGGGACUAAUCGUUGUUGCCCGCAAUGGACCGCACUGGUUAAAAAAAAAGGACUUUAA